UACGAAGGGUGCUAGCGUUGUUCGGAAUCACUGGGCGUAAAGCGUGCGCAGGCGGCUAUUCAAGUCAGGGGUGAAAUGCCUGGGCUCAACCCAGGAACUGCCUUUGAAACUGUAUAGCUAGAGUCUCGGAGGGGUUAGGGGAAUUCCUAAUGUAGCGGUGAAAUGCGUAGAUAUUAGGAGGAACACCGGUGGCGAAGGCGCCACUCUGGGCCGGUACUGACGCUGAGGAGCGAAAGCGUGGGGAGCGAACAGG
rnacentral:rRNA from 1 species